rnacentral:tRNA from 1 species
AGGGUGAUAGUUUAACGAGAACACCUUCCCGCUAAGAAGGAGAUGGAGGUUCACUCCUCCUCACCCGUC